UACGGGGGGGAGCAAGCGUUGUUCGGAUUUACUGGGCGUAAAGUGUGCGCAGGCGGCAGAGCAAGUCGAGUGUGAAAGCCCCGGGCUUAACUUGGGAAUUGCGCUCGAAACUACUUUGCUGGAGUGUGGCAGAGGAAGGUGGAAUUCCACGUGUAGCGGUGAAAUGCGUAGAGAUGCGGAGGAACACCGAUGGCGAAGGCAGCCCCCUGGGCUGACACCUGACGCUCAGGCACGAAAGCGUGGGGAGCAAAC
rnacentral:rRNA from 1 species